GCAACCUGAAAGACAGACAGAGAACACCUCAGCUGGUCUGGCGGUGCGGCCCUCUGUACAGCAGUGCCGUGUGAACCCAAAGCUCAAAGGAAGAGUCUGAAUUACUGGGCUGUUUAACUGAGCCUAGGCUGACUUACUGAAGUCUGCUGAUAUGUGACACUUCAUGAAACUUCAUGAAAACAAACACCAAUAUGCUUCAGAAAGAAGUCUCAAAGGACAGCAAUUUGAUAUUAGACAUUUGAUAAUUAUGUCUUCUUCUUCCUACUGUAAUCCCUCAUCUACACUGAACGUUCUCCUCUGCUUGUUAUAAAGCACAUUUUUAUCAUCUUACUGAGUGGAGGUUGACAGGAAGUUAACCCAUAACCCUAAGAGAUACACACUGUAACUCAGUGAGCCCCAAGGCUCUAGAUGAUAGCUCCUUUUUAACAAGUCUUUAUAUCAUUUAGAUUAUCAUGCAGGCAUUCUAAAAGAAAACAUUUAAUUAUAAGAUGUAAAGUCUUACCUUGUAUUUACAAUGGCAAGUGCUCUGCUUACGUUACAUAGGAUAUGUCAUAUAAUGCAAUUGUUGAUUGAUAUGAUAAAUUAUAUGAUAAUCAAGUAAAAGUGUGAUUCAAAAUAAAAGAAUACACACGUAGAUAGCAGAGGAUUUACAUUAUAUUUUCCUUUGUCACAUGUAAGCUCUUUACCCAACUUCAAAAUGUGUCAAUACUUGUUAGCUUAUUGCUGUACUGUAUU